GGGGCUGUGGCUCAGUGGCAGAACAUCUCCUUGGCAUGCAGAAGGUCCCAGGUUCAAUUUUUGGCAUCUCCA
rnacentral:tRNA from 1 species